rnacentral:rRNA from 1 species
GACGAACGCUGGCGGCGUGCUUAACACAUGCAAGUCGAACGGAAAGGCCCUGCUUUUGUGGGGUGCUCGAGUGGCGAACGGGUGAGUAACACGUGAGUAACCUGCCCUUGACUUUGGGAUAACUUCAGGAAACUGGGGCUAAUACCGGAUAGGAGCUCCUGCUGCAUGGUGGGGGUUGGAAAGUUUCGGCGGUUGGGGAUGGACUCGCGGCUUAUCAGCUUGUUGGUGGGGUAGUGGCUUACCAAGGCUUUGACGGGUAGCCGGCCUGAGAGGGUGACCGGCCACAGUGGGACUGGGAUACGGCCCAGACUCCUACGGGAGGCAGCAGUGGGGAAUAUUGCACAAUGGGCGGAAGCCUGAUGCAGCAACGCCGCGUGCGGGAUGACGGCCUUCGGGUUGUAAACCGCUUUCGCCUGUGACGAAGCGUGAGUGACGGUAAUGGGUAAAGAAGCACCGGCUAACUACGU